CCCCUCUCAGGUUUGCAUCUGGAGAGUUUCCAGUACUUUACCAGUCUCGACUACGAGAGGGAGAGUCAAGCAGAGGCAUACCCAUUCUAUUUCUAGCUUGGGCAGUGGCUAGCGAGUGGAACGCAAUCUGCUACAAAU
rfam:Ornithorhynchus anatinus chromosome 3, whole genome shotgun sequence.